rnacentral:lncRNA from 1 species
GAACGAUCUCACAUUAUGGGAAUCUUUCGGCGGGUUGAAGUUUUGGGACUAUCUGAACCAGAACACUGCAUUAACCAAGCGGUUCAACCAAGCAAUGGAAAGCGAUUCUGAAAUGGCAACCUUGAUUGUCAAAGACUGCAAGCCAAUCUUUCAAGGGUUGCGCUCCCUGGUUGAUGUAGGAGGUGGAACGGGUGCAUUCGCGAGAAUCAUAUCUGAAGCAUUCCCCGGCAUCAAGUGCACAGUACUUGACCUCCCACAUGCGGUCACUGACAUGCCUCAGACUGACAACUUGAAGUACGUAGUGGGUGAUAUGUUUCAGUUUAUUCCUGCGGCAGACGCCUUUUUCUUCAAGGUAAAAGAAACACACACACGAGCGCCUUCUAAAUAGGGUUCUUGUGCUUUAUGAAAAUGUGGGAACGACUUUUUAACGUUCCCGCACUUUAAUGAACUACAGAAAUCUCUCAUUGAAUAUAUAUAUAUAUAUAGUCAUUAUAUUAUAUAUAUAUACAUUGGAAGAUGGUGUAUGCAUAUGCGUGAAAUAAUUUUAUGUAAUGGUGGGUAUUAAUUAUUAAAUGGGUGAUUGGCAUGCAGACGGUUUUUCAUUUAUUUGAUGACGAGGAUUGCUUGAAGCUAUUGAAGGAAUGCAGAGAAGCUAUCGCAAGCAAUGGCGAGAGAGGAAAGGUAUUAAUCGUCGAUAUUGUAAUCAAUGAAAAGGAAGAUGACCGUGAAUUAACAGAAGCAAAGCUCUUGUUUGACACUUUGAUGAACUUUAAUGUUGGUGGAAGAGAGAGAACUGAGCAAGAAUGGGAAAGUCUUUUCGUGAAUGCCGGUUUCACUCACUACAAAGUAGCUCCGAUAUUUGGUAUCAAGUCCCUCAUUGAAGUCUAUCCGUAAAGAAUUGAUUAGUCGCCCCAGUGUUCGAUAUUUGGCAGCAAAUAAUUUCCUACACGCUCAUGCAAUCGUCGAAAUAAAUUUAGGAACAAAGGAUUUGUACUCUGUUAUUGCUCCGAAUAUCUGCUUCUGAUGUUUUGAUUUCGCUAAUAAAUUCAGUAUCUUUCUCAAGUUUAUGUAAUUGAGAAGAAGAAAUUUAUAAAUCUAAGAUUUUAGAUGGCGUGGGCAAAAUCAGGUUCGGAUCGGGUUCAGAUUAACCUACCAUAUUUCGGGUUAAUCUGGUUUUAAAGAAAAGAGUCACUCGAACUCAAUCCGACUUUUGGAUUUUUUUAAUUUAUCUAGCUUCUUUGAUCUGGUUUGCUGAAACUUAUGCCCUAUAUCAGUAGUUUCGUUCUAUAUUUGCUUGAGUUUGUGGAAUUCAGAUUGGAUGUCAAGUAUUUAUGUCAUUUCAUCGUUCAAUUCUAGUUUUAUUUUUAUUUAUUUAUUUUUGAGUGACCUGCUGAUGCAUAAGUUUGGAUCCUGUACAUUGGUACCUAAUUGCUAAUGUCUGAUGAAAUUUUUCGAAGUAGAGACUUCAAAUUGUUUGAUGGAAUGCCGAUAAAAAAUGAAUACAAUCCAAAUCUGAUAGAAACUUGAUUGGUGAAGCAAACGCGUAAUUAAAGUGAAAUUGAGAAAUAAUGAGACAACAAAAUCCCACAAGGAUACCAGAAAUUUACGUGGUUCAGUUUUUAACCUACAUCUACAGGCGAAAAUAGAAGAAAAAUAUUUUACUUGUGAAAUGAGGGUUACAAAUAUUGUAAUAUUUUGAUUCACAACCCCAAUACACCCAAUCUUUCAAAUCACUUAAUCACUAAAGAACUUUAUAAUUUCAAUCUCUUUAAACUCUCUCUCUAAAUACAAUAAAUGCUUCUCAAAAUUGGGAUAAUUUAGCUCUCUCUCAGCACUCUAGGAAAGAUAAUGGCCAAAAGUCAGCAAUUACAGCUCAAAAAUUCAAGCAUUACAGCUAACAAUUAUGGCAAAAAAUUUAGCAAUUUUUCACCACCAGCUAAGCACCGAAUUUGGUGCUUGAAAUGUCAAAGUCAAGCACCAAUUCGGUGCUGACUUUAACAAAAACUACCCUUGCUUUGCAAUUUCUAUUGGAGUUUUAUUUCAAGGAAGCCCUGCUGCUACUUGUAGGUAAUAAUCUAUUGAAUUAUAUAAUGAGUUGAUGUUUCCAUAAUUCUCUUAGAGAUGCAUUUACAUAAUUUAUUUUUUGAAACGGGUUAUUACUUAAAUUACUAUCCUAAAUCUUCCAGUCAUGCUAAUCCAGUGUUUCUUGCUCCAAACUAUCGGUUCAGCACAAAGUGAAAGGCUGAAAAGUUUUAGCGCUUACACGACGAAGGUUUUACAGCAUGGUCUUUUGACUAAAGCUAAUAUUUCCUGUUACAUUUGUUAUCCUCAGUUUCUUGUUGCAAUUAAAAGUUGAGGACCCUGCGUCUCCCAUCCGCUAUCAUGUUAUUUAUGUUCGACGCCACUAGAUUAGCUAAGUGAUUUUCAACUUUUGGUACGGGAGUGAAUCACAAGAUUUUGGAUUCCCUCUUGUUUGUGGUACUUUCUUUUUCUUUUCCCCCUUAAUAUAUAACAUUAAUAAUGAUGCUUCAUCUAGCCCUGCAAGCACUUUUUUUUUUUUGGAUUCAUUUGACUUUCAUUUAUUUCAUGUUAAUCUUUUGCUUAUAUUAGAUCGUCGAUUUCCGAAUUGCUUAGGGACAUAUAAUUAUAAUAAGUAAUAAUUAUGGGCGUACUAUGGAGAUCUUAGCAACUAGCAGCUUUGCGGGCAAAAGUCAAUUCUCAGAAGCUAUCAGUGAAGUUGGUGUUGAGGCACGUUCAAAUGGACAGAUUUUGGAGAUACGAAAUCUCAAGGUGUUCAAUUUUUUGGAUUUGAAGUCUGCAACCAAGAACUUCAAGCCUGAUAUUUUGUUGGGUGAAGGUGGUUUUGGGAUAAUGUACUGAGGUGGUUGCUAUUAAGAAAUUGAAGAAUGGCAGGUGUUUCUUUUUAAUUUACUCUUUCGAUUCUUAUUGAAAAGUCGAACUUUUAGGCAUCCGAAACAGAAUUUAAACUAAUUAAGAAAAAUGAUUAUUGUGGGUUAAUUGGAUUAAUUUUUUUGAACCCAAUUAAUAAUUGAGUUAGGGUUGGAUCAAUAACGAUGAACCCACCUAACUCAACCCAAUUCAUAUAAAUAAUAAUAAAAAUAUGGUACCAAAGACCUAAACGGUUAAUCUAAUUUUUAACUCUUUUUAUUAUUAUAUAAGAGAGACAAUUUCAUUCUCAUAUAUACUACUCUAUUUUCUAAUUGCAAAAUUAAAAUCACGCUCUCAUAUAAGUAAAUAUAUUAUCUUAUAAGUUUAAUUUUGAAAGUAAGUUAGUUUCAGUUUAUAGUUAUUUUUUAGUAAAUACUUAAUGGUACAUAAUUAUAUAUCACUUCAUUUUGUUAUGGGAUACGAUGCUAACUAAUUAUCUAAAAGGUCUGGAUUUGAAAUUUGAAAAAAAGACGCGGGAAACGAGAAUAAAGUCUCGAAGCUCAUUGUUGAAAUUUUUUUAAUUUGAUUUUAAUAAGAUAGUUGGUCUUUUAGCUUUCUUUAUCGAACACUAAAUAGUGAAUAAAUUUUCAUGUCAUGAUAGAUUUAUGUUUAAUUUUAAGAAGUUCCAUUUCAAAUUUCAUGUCUUUUUCUUUAUUUAGCUUUUAAUUUUAAUAUGGCUCAGAACCCGAUCAAACCAGCCCAACCGAACCCAACCUUACGAUUUAAGGGUUAGAUUGGAUUGAGUUAAAUAUAUUUAUUUAGUUGGGUUAGAUUGAUUUUAUCUCAACCUAUUCAACAGUUGAGUUGGAUUUUCACAAACUCUAUCCAACUGGUCAACUCAUGCCCACUCUUAUGAGCUAUUGAGCCAAGCAAUUUUUUUUGUCCCUUUUAUGACUUUUCAAAUAUCAAGAUCAAUGGACAUAAUUACCUAAAAUAUUUUAAGCAUAGGAAAAUUAUUUGCAUCUUAAAAUAUAUUGUGAACACACUGUUAUUGGCUCACCAUUUUGAAGAAGUUUUUAAACAUACUUUCACUAAUCCCAAAAAUAGUCCUUAAUAUAAUCAAAUCCCCCUAGUCACUUUAGCAUGUUCUUCUUCAAUAAUUCAUCAUUUUCUUCUAAAAUAAUCUAUUACAAAUUCAUGAAAUAGAAAGAGCAAAUAGAAGAAAAUCAAUAAAAACGACCAAUUGUGGCAUGGACUCAUUUUGGCAUAGAUUAAUUGUUUCAAGUGAGUAAGAAAAUGAUGUUCAAGAAGAAACGGUAGAUCCCGCGAGUGUUAAAAGUAAACAGUACUUUAUUUAAAAAAANNNNNNNNNNNNNNNNNNNNNNNNNNNNNNNNNNNNNNNNNNNNNNNNNNNNNNNNNNNNNNNNNNNNNNNNNNNNNNNNNNNNNNNNNNNNNNNNNNNNNNNNNNNNNNNNNNNNNNNNNNNNNNNNNNNNNNNNNNNNNNNNNNNNNNNNNNNNNNNNNNNNNNNNNNNNNNNNNNNNNNNNNNNNNNNNNNNNNNNNNNNNNNNNNNNNNNNNNNNNNNNNNNNNNNNNNNNNNNNNNNNNNNNNNNNNNNNNNNNNNNNNNNNNNNNNNNNNNNNNNNNNNNNNNNNNNNNNNNNNNNNNNNNNNNNNNNNNNNNNNNNNNNNNNNNNNNNNNNNNNNNNNNNNNNNNNNNNNNNNNNNNNNNNNNNNNNNNNNNNNNNNNNNNNNNNNNNNNNNNNNNNNNNNNNNNNNNNNNNNNNNNNNNNUGGAUCUAUCUUAAUAUCUAAAUCCAUAUCCAUAUCCACUCAUCUUUUAAUUUUAUUUUAUUUUAAAAGUUUCUUAACAAUUGUGGAAUUAUAAUGAUAAUAAAUUUUAUUCAUAGCAUACUAGUAGUAUUUACCAUGCAUUUAAACUCUUAAAAUUUAAAGGUUAGUUUUGUAAAUUUAAAGGUCAACCAGCCCCAAAGCAUGUACAUGUAAUAUUCAAAUUGGAAGCCAAGUAAUAUAAUCUGGCAAUUUAUUUUAUUAUAUUGGCCAAAUAAUUUUUAAGGAAUAUAGUUAUUCAUAUAUUUAGUCAAAUAUGGUCAUAAUAAAAAUAAUAAAGGACUGAAUAUAAAUCAUAUUUAAUUUAUAUCUCAUUAUCUAAUGUUGUAGGAAUAAGGGUAGGUGUAUCAUGGAUAUUAGAAUGAUGAAGGAGACAAUAGAAUAUUAGAUUGAUCUUACUCAUGCAAUUACUUCGGAAUGAUAUUUUAUUAUCUUUCUUAUUUGUUGUUUUGGUGUAAAAGUAUAAGCUACAAUAUUUAUUAUAUUUUUGAGAAAAAAUAUAUAAUUAAUUUGUUAUCAAUACAUUUUAGCCUUCAAUUUUCAAUCUAAAAAAUUAUUACUUUUUUAUUAUUGAAUUUUAGAAUUCAUGACGGACUAGAGCAGAUUUGGAUUUUAUUUUUUUUUUUUCGGAUUUGGAGCAGAUAUAUAUAUUUAUUUCUUUUUUGGAUCUGGAUAUGGAGCGAAAAAUAUGGAUUCAUGACGGAUUUGGAGCAGAUACGGAUCUUUAUUUUUAUUAUAAAUUUGGAUUUUGAGCAAAGUAGAUCCAACCCAUAUCUGCCCCAUUGCCAUCCCUACACUUAUAUAAUAAAAAAUCUAUAAUAUCUUUAGUAUUUCUUAAGAUUAUUAUUUAGAAAUCAUAUUUAUUACAUAUUAUUUAUUUUUAUUUAUAAAUAUAAUAUUUUUUUUAAUCAAUAACCAUCAGUUUUAAGCUACACAACCUCAACAGUGCCUUAAGAUCAAUUUUCCUACAUUGUACAACUUCUAGUAACUCUCAGUACGAAUACAUAUUGUUAUUAUAUGGAUUACUAUGUUGACCCGCAUUGCGGAUAUACAGUAUACCGCUAUUAAAUAAUAUGUAAUAUAUAUUAUUUACAUAUUAUAUAUUAAAUAAUUAAUCCUUUGGAGAGCAUUAAUUAUGGGUGAAGCUACCCAUUUUGGUUGCAUAUCCGUUCACCUUGAUCCUCUCCUAAUUUUCCCUUUUCUUGCAUAUCCGAUAUCCGCGCAAUCAUCUGUUAUAAUUUAAUUUAACCCUAACCAAUAAAUCCAUGACUGACCAAGAUUUUACUCUUUACUAACGGCCAAUUAAUGAUUAUAUUAAUAAUCUUUAUCACGUAAAAAAAAAAAUUCCAUAAUUUGUCAAAUACUUAAAACUGCAUAUAAACAAGUUAAAUAACCAUCUUGGAACACGAUGGAGAGAUAAGCAACCUAAGUUUCAGUUAUAUAUCUGAUUGUAAAUAUCAAUGUAAUGUCUACUCUAAUAGCAGUUGUAAAUAUUUGUGUAAUACAGUAAUCUGAUGUGUAAUCGGUAUUAAAAAUAUAUAUAUAUCAAGAUCAACAGACAAGGUUGAGCAAUGUGAGGGCAACAAUUCGAAUCUCCACAAAAGUAUUGUAGAGGUAAUUCCUUCCUCAAUUAUAUUGUAUAAUUGAGUGGAAACAAUUUUCUCCUUUGCGAAAUGUAAGUGGAGUAGACAUCCUUCAAAUAUUAGUGAGAGUAAAAUUUUUGAAAAUGUUUCAGAAGAUUUAAUAUAAAUUAAUAUGUGCAGUUGUGCAGUGCUUCAUAAGAUUUACUGUGAAUUAGUUCUAAUAGUUAUUUGAUUAUAAAUAUCAAUAAUAAUCUCAUAUAAUAUGAAUUGUAAUCUAAGUAAUAGUCUCGUAUAAUUAAAAAAAAAAUCAAAUUCAAUGGCUAAAAUUACCUAAAACAUUUUGAGCAUGGUGGAAUUAUUUGCAUGUUAAAAUAUAUUAUGAACACUCUUUUAUUUACUCAUUCAUUUUCAACAAGUUUUUAAACACACUUUCACUAAUGCCAAAAUAGUCCUUAAACCCCCUUAGUCACUUCAUCAUUUUCUUCUUCAACAAUUCAUCAUUGUUCUUCUAAAAAAAAUCUUGUACGCAUUCACAACGACUAAUUUAACAAAAACAUUUACGGAUAAACCAAAAAUAGAAAAGUAUAGGAUGAAAUACAAAUCUAGAAAUACAAAGAGCAAAUAAUUGAAUGAAAUAGAAGAAAGUCAAUGAAAACGACCAACUGUUGCAGGCUCUCAUUUUGGCAUGGUUUGUGGAAGUGACUAAGAAAAUGAUGUUAAAGAAGAAAAGGUACAUCCCGUGCGUGUUAGAAGCAAACAGUACUUUAUUUAAAAAAUUAAAUCGUCUUAAAUAAUAAUUAUUUACAGUAAGAUUAUUUUGUAAUAUAAAAUUAUCUUAAAAUAUGGCGUUAGAGUAUAUUUUAGAAUGGAAGUAGUCUCAUCAUUCAAGAAUUUGAAAAAAAGAAAAUUCCAUGUAUAAGUUAUUAACACUACAAGAACGACCAUAAACAAGUUUAAGUAAAUAGUAUUAUUUCGCUGAAUAAAGUAAGUUAUCUUGUUAGAAGGGUGUAUGGUCCAAUUUUGACUCUAUUUAGUGGUACUUUUUCUCAUUUCUUUCAUUUUGCUUUCCUAGUGUGUGGUAUGGGAUUUUCCUCAUCCUCAUUUAUCUCAUAUUGUGAUACAACAUUUUUCACUUCAGAUUUGAAAGUUAAAUUAAUUUGACUUAUCACUUGUAUGAUAAAAAAUUUAUAAUAUUUAUAGUAUUUUGUUAAUAUUAUUUAAAAAUCAUAUUUCUUACAUAUUUUUUAUUUUUAUUUAGAAUAGUAUAUCUUUUAAGCUGUAGAAUAAUCUCAAUAGUUUAGAUCAUUUGUCUUGCAUUGUGCGACUUCCAGUAACUUACGCUACGAAUACAUAUCGUUAUUAUACGUACCACUAUGUUGACAUCCAAACCUGCAUUACGUAUAUACAGUAUACCGUUAAUAAUUAUUAUACGUUGAACUACUUUGACUUUUCAAACUCGCAUUGCGAAUUGGCUGCAGGAAUCGAAAUUUUUAAGUGAAUAUAUAUACAUACGUAUAUGGUAGACCAAAGAUAAGCUGAGAGAAGUUGGAGGUAAAGUGUAAACGAAAACAAUUGAAGUUAUGGGUGACAUUGAAAAUGACGGGGUAACUGUAAGAGAGUUGUUUGAAGGUCAAGCUCAUCUGUAUAAGGGCAUCGUUAAGAAUUUAAGUUCUAUGUCAGUCAAAUGUGCGGUUGAGCUAGGCAUAGCGGACGCAAUUCACAGCCACGGACGACCAAUCACUCUGUCUGAGUUAGCCUCAGCUCUCAACAUUCAGCCCACAAAAACUCGUAGUCUAUUCCAUUUCAUGAGUCUGUUAGUUCACAUGGGCAUGUUUUCAAAAACCGAAGUUGACAACCACAACGAGCAAGAAGAAGCAUAUGGCCUCACGCCUACUUCGACCCUGCCAUCAAAGAUAAGCCCUACUGUUUGUCACCACUUGUUACUGGAUUGCUUGACCAAGAUUAUGUCUCUUCAUUCCAGCAUUUAAGUAGGUGGUUCAAAGGGAACGAUAUCACAUUAUGGGAAACUUUCCGCGGGUUGAAGUUUUGGGACUAUCUGAACCAGAACACUGCAUUAACCAAGCGGUUCAACCAAGCAAACAAUUCUUUCUAUCACUUUAUGACUUUUCAAAUAUCGCCCCUUGGGCUUUAGUCUAAUGGUGAACCACCACUCUUAAAGUUAAGAAUGACUAUGAGGGUAGUGGUUCGAGUCUUCAUAGGUUCAACCUCUCUCAAUUAAGCAAAAAAAUUAUGUGGAGUUAAUUUGUAAGUCUUUCUCCCUUGCGAAAUGCGAGUGGAGUAGAGACAUCCCUCAUCUCUGAGAUCCAUAUGUCUAGGCAUGUAUUUCAUAGAAUUAAUGUAAUAAUGUAAGUUCCAGUUAUAUAUCUGAUUGUAAAUAUCAGUGUAAUGUCUACUCUAAUAGCAGUUGUAAAUAUUUGUGUAAUACAGUAAUCUGAUGUGUAAUCGGUAUUAAAAAUAUAUAUAUAUCAAGAUCAACAACCAAGGCUGAGCAAUGUGAGGGCAACAAUUCGAAUCCCCACAAAAGUAUUGUAGGGGUAAUUCCUUCCUCAAUUAUAUUGUAUAAUUGAGUGGAAACAAUUUUCUCCUUUGCGAAAUGUAAGUGGAGUAGACAUCCUUCAAAUAUUAGUGAGAGUAAAAUUUUUGAAAAUGUUUCAGAAGAUUUAAUAUAAAUUAAUAUGUGCAGUUGUGCAGUGCUUCAUAAGAUUUACUGUGAAUUAGUUCUAAUAGUUAUUUGAUUAUAAAUAUCAAUAAUAAUCUCAUAUAAUAUGAAUUGUAAUCUAAGUAAUAGUCUCGUAUAAUUAAAAAAAAAAUCAAAUUCAAUGGCUAAAAUUACCUAAAACAUUUUGAGUAUGGUGGAAUUAUUUGCAUGUUAAAAUAUAUUAUGAACACUCUUUUAUUUACUCAUUCAUUUUCAACAAGUUUUUAAACACACUUUCACUAAUGCCAAAAUAGUCCUUAAACCCCCUUAGUCACUUCAUCAUUUUCUUCUUCAACAAUUCAUCAUUGUUCUUCUAAAAAAAAUCUUGUACACAUUCACAACGACUAAUUUAACAAAAACAUUUACGGAUAAACCAAAAAUAGAAAAGUAUAGGAUGAAAUACAAAUCUAGAAAUACAAAGAGCAAAUAAUUGAAUGAAAUAGAAGAAAGUCAAUGAAAACGACCAACUGUUGCAGGCUCUCAUUUUGGCAUGGUUUGUGGAAGUGACUAAGAAAAUGAUGUUAAAGAAGAAAAGGUACAUCCCGUGCGUGUUAGAAGCAAACAGUACUUUAUUUAAAAAAUUAAAUCGUCUUAAAUAAUAAUUAUUUACAGUAAGAUUAUUUUGUAAUAUAAAAUUAUCUUAAAAUAUGGCGUUAGAGUAUAUUUUAGAAUGGAAGUAGUCUCAUCAUUCAAGAAUUUGAAAAAAAGAAAAUUCCAUGUAUAAGUUAUUAACACUACAAGAACGACCAUAAACAAGUUUAAGUAAAUAGUAUUAUUUCGCUGAAUAAAGUAAGUUAUCUUGUUAGAAGGGUGUAUGGUCCAAUUUUGACUCUAUUUAGUGGUACUUUUUCUCAUUUCUUUCAUUUUGCUUUCCUAGUGUGUGGUAUGGGAUUUUCCUCAUCCUCAUUUAUCUCAUAUUGUGAUACAACAUUUUUCACUUCAGAUUUGAAAGUUAAAUUAAUUUGACUUAUCACUUGUAUGAUAAAAAAUUUAUAAUAUUUAUAGUAUUUUGUUAAUAUUAUUUAAAAAUCAUAUUUCUUACAUAUUUUUUAUUUUUAUUUAGAAUAGUAUAUCUUUUAAGCUGUAGAAUAAUCUCAAUAGUUUAGAUCAUUUGUCUUGCAUUGUGCGACUUCCAGUAACUUACGCUACGAAUACAUAUCGUUAUUAUACGUACCACUAUGUUGACAUCCAAACCUGCAUUACGUAUAUACAGUAUACCGUUAAUAAUUAUUAUACGUUGAACUACUUUGACUUUUCAAACUCGCAUUGCGAAUUGGCUGCAGGAAUCGAAAUUUUUAAGUGAAUAUAUAUACAUACGUAUAUGGUAGACCAAAGAUAAGCUGAGAGAAGUUGGAGGUAAAGUGUAAACGAAAACAAUUGAAGUUAUGGGUGACAUUGAAAAUGACGGGGUAACUGUAAGAGAGUUGUUUGAAGGUCAAGCUCAUCUGUAUAAGGGCAUCGUUAAGAAUUUAAGUUCUAUGUCAGUCAAAUGUGCGGUUGAGCUAGGCAUAGCGGACGCAAUUCACAGCCACGGACGACCAAUCACUCUGUCUGAGUUAGCCUCAGCUCUCAACAUUCAGCCCACAAAAACUCGUAGUCUAUUCCAUUUCAUGAGUCUGUUAGUUCACAUGGGCAUGUUUUCAAAAACCGAAGUUGACAACCACAACGAGCAAGAAGAAGCAUAUGGCCUCACGCCUACUUCGACCCUGCCAUCAAAGAUAAGCCCUACUGUUUGUCACCACUUGUUACUGGAUUGCUUGACCAAGAUUAUGUCUCUUCAUUCCAGCAUUUAAGUAGGUGGUUCAAAGGGAACGAUAUCACAUUAUGGGAAACUUUCCGCGGGUUGAAGUUUUGGGACUAUCUGAACCAGAACACUGCAUUAACCAAGCGGUUCAACCAAGCAAUGGCAAGCGAUUCUAAAAUGGCAACCUUGAUUGUCAAAGACUGCAAGCCAAUCUUUCAAGGGUUGCGCUCCCUGGUUGAUGUAGGAGGCGGAACGGGUGCAUUCGCGAGAAUCAUAUCUGAAGCAUUCCCCGGCAUCAAGUGCACAGUACUUGAACUCCCACAUGCUGUCACUGACAUGCCUCAGACUGAAAACUUGAAGUACGUAGAGGGUGACAUGUUUCAGUUUAUUCCUCCAGCAGACGCCUUUUUCUUCAAGGUAAAAGAAACACACACACGAGCGCCUUCUAAUGAGGGUUCUUGUGCUUUAUGAAAAUGUGGGAACGACUUUUUAACGUUCCCGCACUUUAAUGAACUACAGAAAUCUCUCAUUGAAUAUAUAUAUAUAUAUAGUCAUUAUAUUAUAUAUAUAUACAUUGGAAGAUGGUGUAUGCAUAUGCGUGAAAUAAUUUUAUGUAAUGGUGGGUAUUAAUUAUUAAAUGGGUGAUUGGCAUGCAGACGGUUUUUCAUUUAUUUGAUGACGAGGAUUGCUUGAAGCUAUUGAAGGAAUGCAGAGAAGCUAUCGCAAGCAAUGGCGAGAGAGGAAAGGUAUUAAUCGUCGAUAUUGUAAUCAAUGAAAAGGAAGAUGACCGUGAAUUAACAGAAGCAAAGCUCUUGUUUGACACUUUGAUGAACUUUAAUGUUGGUGGAAGGGAGAGAACUGAGCAAGAAUGGGAAAGUCUUUUCGUGAAUGCCGGUUUCACUCACUACAAAGUAGCUCCGAUAUUUGGUAUCAAGUCCCUCAUUGAAGUCUAUCCGUAAAGAAUUGAUCAGUCGCCCCAAUGUUCGAUAUUUGGCAUCAAAAUAAUUUCCUACACGCUCAUGCAGUCGUCGAAAUAAAUUUAAGAAUAAAGAAUUUGUACUCUGUUAUUGCCCCGAUCAUCUGCUUCUGAUGUUUUGACUUUGCUAAUAAAUUCACUAUCUUUCUCAAGUUUAUGUAAUUGAGAAGAAGAAAUUCAUAAAUCUGAGAUUUUAGAUGGGUGGGCAAAAUCGGGUUCGGAUCGGGGUCAGAUUAACCUACUGUAUUUCGGGUUAUUCGGGUUCUAAAAAAAAAAAGUCACUCGAACUCAAUCCGACUUUUGCAUUUUUUUAAUUUAUCUAGCUUCUUCGAUCUGGUUUGCUGAUACUUAUGCCCUAUAUCAGUAGUUUUGUUCUACAUUUGCUUGAGUUUGUGGAAUUGAGAUUGGAUGUCGAUUUGUACUCUGUUAUUGCCCCGAUCAUCUGCUUCUGAUGUUUUGACUUUGCUAAUAAAUUCAGUAUCUUUCUCAAGUUUAUGUAAUUGAGAAGAAGAAAUUCAUAAAUCUGAGAUUUUAGAUGGGUGGGCAAAAUCGGGUUCGGAUCGGGGUCAGAUUAACCUACUGUAUUUCGGGUUAUUCGGGUUCUAAAAAAAAAAAGUCACUCGAACUCAAUCCGACUUUUGCAUUUUUUUAAUUUAUCUAGCUUCUUCGAUCUGGUUUGCUGAUACUUAUGCCCUAUAUCAGUAGUUUUGUUCUACAUUUGCUUGAGUUUGUGGAAUUGAGAUUGGAUGUCAAGUAUUUAUGUCAUUUCAUCGUUCAAUUCUGGUUUUAUUUUUACUUAUUUAUUUUUGAGUGACUUGCUGAUGUGUAAGUUUGGAUCCUGUACACUGGUAUCUAGUUGCUGACGUCUGAUGAAAUUUUUUGAAGUAGAGACUUCAAAUUGUUUGAUGGAAUGCUGAUAGAAAAUGAAUACAAUCCUAAACUGGUGGGAAAUUGAUUGGUGAAACAGAUACGCAAUUAAAGUGAAAUUGAUAAAUAAUGAGAUAACAUAAUCCCACAAAGAUACUAGAAAUUUACGUGGUUCAUUUUUUAACAUAUAUCCACCGGUGAAGAUAGAAAGAAAAUAUUUUAAUAGUGAAAUAAUAAUUACAAAUAUUAUAAUAUUUUAUCUCAUUACCCAAAACUUCAAUACAUCUAAUUUCUCAAAUCACUUAAAUCACUAAAAAACUUUACAAUUUCAAUCUCUUUAAACUCUCUCUCCCUCUAAAUACAAUAAAUGCUUCUCACAAUUGGGUUGAUUUAGCUCUCUCUCAUCACUGCUAUUUAUAGGAAAGAUAGUGGCCAAAAGUCAGCAAUUACAGCUAACAAUUAUGGCAAAAAAUUUAGCAAUUUUUCACCACCAGCUAAGCACCGAAUUUGGUGCUUGAAAUGUCAAAGUCAAGCACCAAUUCGGUGCUGACUUUAACAAAAACUACCCUUGCUUUGCAAUUUCUAUUGGAGUUUUAUUUCAAGGAAGCCCUGCUGCUACUUGUAGGUAAUAAUCUAUUGAAUUAUAUAAUGAGUUGAUGUUUCCAUAAUUCUCUUAGAGAUGCAUUUACAUAAUUUAUUUUUUGAAACGGGUUAUUACUUAAAUUACUAUCCUAAAUCUUCCAGUCAUGCUAAUCCAGUGUUUCUUGCUCCAAACUAUCGGUUCAGCACAAAGUGAAAGGCUGAAAAGUUUUAGCGCUUACACGACGAAGGUUUUACAGCAUGGUCUUUUGACUAAAGCUAAUAUUUCCUGUUACAUUUGUUAUCCUCAGUUUCUUGUUGCAAUUAAAAGUUGAGGACCCUGCGUCUCCCAUCCGCUAUCAUGUUAUUUAUGUUCGACGCCACUAGAUUAGCUAAGUGAUUUUCAACUUUUGGUACGGGAGUGAAUCACAAGAUUUUGGAUUCCCUCUUGUUUGUGGUACUUUCUUUUUCUUUUCCCCCUUAAUAUAUAACAUUAAUAAUGAUGCUUCAUCUAGCCCUGCAAGCACUUUUUUUUUUUUGGAUUCAUUUGACUUUCAUUUAUUUCAUGUUAAUCUUUUGCUUAUAUUAGAUCGUCGAUUUCCGAAUUGCUUAGGGACAUAUAAUUAUAAUAAGUAAUAAUUAUGGGCGUACUAUGGAGAUCUUAGCAACUAGCAGCUUUGCGGGCAAAAGUGAAUUCUCAGAAGCUAUCAGUGAAGUUGGUGUUGAGGCACGUUCAAAUGGACAGAUUUUGGAGAUACGAAAUCUCAAGGUGUUCAAUUUUUUGGAUUUGAAGUCUGCAACCAAGAACUUCAAGCCUGAUAUUUUGUUGGGUGAAGGUGGUUUUGGGAUAAUGUACUGAGGUGGUUGCUAUUAAGAAAUUGAAGAAUGGCAGGUGUUUCUUUUUAAUUUACUCUUUCGAUUCUUAUUGAAAAGUCGAACUUUUAGGCAUCCGAAACAGAAUUUAAACUAAUUAAGAAAAAUGAUUAUUGUGGGUUAAUUGGAUUAAUUUUUUUGAACCCAAUUAAUAAUUGAGUUAGGGUUGGAUCAAUAACGAUGAACCCACCUAACUCAACCCAAUUCAUAUAAAUAAUAAUAAAAAUAUGGUACCAAAGACCUAAACGGUUAAUCUAAUUUUUAACUCUUUUUAUUAUUAUAUAAGAGAGACAAUUUCAUUCUCAUAUAUACUACUCUAUUUUCUAAUUGCAAAAUUAAAAUCACGCUCUCAUAUAAGUAAAUAUAUUAUCUUAUAAGUUUAAUUUUGAAAGUAAGUUAGUUUCAGUUUAUAGUUAUUUUUUAGUAAAUACUUAAUGGUACAUAAUUAUAUAUCACUUCAGUUUGUUAUGGGAUACAAUGCUAACUAAUUAUCUAAAAGGUCUGGAUUUGAAAUUUGAAAAAAAGACGCGGGAAACGAGAAUAAAGUCUCGAAGCUCAUUGUUGAAAUUUUUUUAAUUUGAUUUUAAUAAGAUAGUUGGUCUUUUAGCUUUCUUUAUCGAACACUAAAUAGUGAAUAAAUUUUCAUGUCAUGAUAGAUUUAUGUUUAAUUUUAAGAAGUUCCAUUUCAAAUUUCAUGUCUUUUUCUUUAUUUAGCUUUUAAUUUUAAUAUGGCUCAGAACCCGAUCAAACCAGGUUUGUUAUGGGAUACAAUGCUAACUAAUUAUCUAAAAGGUCUGGAUUUGAAAUUUGAAAUAAAGACGCGGGAAACGAGAAUAAAGUCUCGACGCUCAUUGUUGAAAUUUUUUUAAUUUGAUUUUAAUAAGAUAGUUGGUCUUUUAGCUUUCUUUAUCGAACACUAAAUAGUGAAUAAAUUUUCAUGUCAUGAUAGAUUUAUGUUUAAUUUUAAGAAGUUCCAUUUCAAAUUUCAUGUCUUUUUCUUUAUGAGUGGAGCUAUUGGCACCCCUACAUUAUUCUUCCAAAACCCCACUUUAAAUAAAAUUACAAUUAAAGACAAAUGAAAAUUAAAUAUAUAUAGAUUUUUUUCCAGCAAAUUACUUAUUUCAUAAUAAUCCUUUAAAAAAAAUCCUAUAUGUUACUUCCUAUUUAACUAAAUAAAUUGUACAAAUUUAGAAUAAUCUAUUGUUCUCUUUUAAUUACUUAUUGAUUAAAUAUUUUUAUACUUAAAAUUACUUUGAAAUUAUAAUUUGAAAUAUGUGUUAUUUCAGCCAAUGAUUAACAUUAAAAAACUUAUUACCCAUAUAACUUUUUAAUUUGUGUGUAGAUUAAUAAUAAAAUUGAAAAUAAUUAAAAAAUAGCACAAUAAUACUUUGAGUUUUAACAAUUAAACAAAUCAAAUGAAAAUUGAGAACUUAGAAAAGUGUAUAUAAAAAAAAGGGCAUUUUCAAAAAUAAAAAUAAAUAUAACUAAAAUGCGGGUUUUUUCAGGAACUUAGAGGGGUCUCAAUAGCUCCACUCUUUCUUUAUUUAGCUUUUAAUUUUAAUAUGGUUCAGAACCCGAUUAAACCAGCCCAACCGAACCCAACCUUACGAUUUAAGGGUUAGAUUGGAUUGAGUUAAAUAUAUUUAUUUAGUUGGAUCAUAUUGAUUUUAUCUCAACUUAUUCAACAGUGGGCUGAAUUGGAUUUUCACAAACCCUAUCCAACUCAACUCAUGCCCAUGAACUAUUGAGCCAAGCAAUUUUUUCUAUCCCUUUUAUGACUUUUCAAAUAUCAAGAUGAAUGGGCAGAAUUACCUAAAAUAUUUUAAGCAUAGGGAAAUUAUUUGCAUCUUAAAAUAUAUUGUGCACACAAUGUUAUUAGCUCACCAUUUUGAAGAAGUUUUUAAACAUACUUUCACUAAUCCCAAAAAUAGUCCUUAAUAUAAUCAAAUCCCCCUAGUCACAUUAGCAUUUUCUUCUAAAAUAAUCUAUUACAAAUUCAUGAAAUAGAAAGAGCAAAUAGAAGAAAAUCAAUAAAAACGACCAAUUGUGGCAUGGACUCAUUUUGGCAUAGAUUAAUUGUUUCAAGUGAGUAAGAAAAUGAUGUUCAAGAAGAAACGGUAGAUCCCGCGAGUGUUAAAAGUAAACAGUACUUUAUUUAAAAAAANNNNNNNNNNNNNNNNNNNNNNNNNNNNNNNNNNNNNNNNNNNNNNNNNNNNNNNNNNNNNNNNNNNNNNNNNNNNNNNNNNNNNNNNNNNNNNNNNNNNNNNNNNNNNNNNNNNNNNNNNNNNNNNNNNNNNNNNNNNNNNNNNNNNNNNNNNNNNNNNNNNNNNNNNNNNNNNNNNNNNNNNNNNNNNNNNNNNNNNNNNNNNNNNNNNNNNNNNNNNNNNNNNNNNNNNNNNNNNNNNNNNNNNNNNNNNNNNNNNNNNNNNNNNNNNNNNNNNNNNNNNNNNNNNNNNNNNNNNNNNNNNNNNNNNNNNNNNNNNNNNNNNNNNNNNNNNNNNNNNNNNNNNNNNNNNNNNNNNNNNNNNNNNNNNNNNNNNNNNNNNNNNNNNNNNNNNNNNNNNNNNNNNNNNNNNNNNNNNNNNNNNNNNNNNNNNNNNNNNNNNNNNNNNNNNNNNNNNNNNNNNNNNNNNNNNNNNNNNNNNNNNNNNNNNNNNNNNNNNNNNCUUGGCCGUACAGCAGUUUAAAAAUCAUAUUUAUUACAUAUUAUUUAUUUUUAUUUAUAAAUAUAAUAUUUUUUUUAAUCAAUAACCAUCAGUUUUAAGCUACACAACCUCAAUAGCGCCUUAAGAUCAAUUUUCUUACAUUGUUACAACUUCUAGUAACUCUCAUUACGAAUACAUAUUGUUAUUAUAUGGAUUACUAUGUUGAUCCGCAUUGCCGAUAUACAGUAUACCGCUAUUAAUUAUUAUAUGUUUAACUAGUUUGACUUUUCAAACUCGCAUUGCGAAUUGGCCGCAGAAAUCGAAAUUUUCAAGUGAAUCUAUAUAUACACAUACACAUAUGGUAGACCAUAAGGAAACUGGUAGGCUUAGUCCUGAGAGAAGUUAGGGGUAAAGUGUAGACGAAAACAAUUGAAGUUAUGGGUGACAUUGAAAAUCAAGGGGUCACUCUAAGAGAGAUGUUUGAAGGUCAAGUUCAUCUGAAAAAGGGUGUCAUUAAAAUUUUAAGUUCCAUGUCACUCAAAUGUGCGGUUGAGCUAGGCAUAGCGGACGUAAUUCACAGCCACGGACGACCGAUCACUCUUUCUGAGUUGGCCUCAGCUCUUAACAUUCAGCCUACAAAAACUCGUAGUCUAUUCCAUUUCAUGCGUCUGUUCGUUCACGUGGGCUUGUUUUUAAAAACCAAAGUUGUCAACCACAACGAACAAGAAGAAGCUGUUUACUUUGUUUUGGAAUCGGAAUCAAAACAGAUUAGAUUGUAACAAAUUACUAAAAAGUACUUAAUGGAUAAUUGUCUAUAAUUAUAUUAAUAAUUAUUAUAAAAAUAUAUUAACUAAUAAUAUUAAUAUUAAUUAUUUAAUUAUAAUAAUAUAUUAAUUAUUGUGAUUAUUUAUUCAAAAAUUAUAAUUAUUAAUAAUUAUUGUUAAUAAUGUAUCAAUAUAUUACUUAAUUAUAAUAAUAUAUUAAUUAAGUAUAAAUGAGGACAAAGGGGGUAUUUUUAAUUUCACGUAGGGGCAAAAUGGUCAAUUCUAGUAAUGGGAGACUCACUCCGACCCUCUCCCUUGGGAAUGAGUCUCCCAUUCCUCAUUCCCAAAUUGUGGUGGGCCCCAUAAUUUUGACUCUGAUUUUUGACUCAAUUUUGCGAAGUAAACGCUACCAAUGAUUCUGAUUUCGGAUUCUGAUUCACUUAUCCGAGAAGUAAAAGCAACAUAAAUGUGUAUGAAUAAUUGAUACCUAUGAAUAGUUUUGGGAGUUUUAGUUAGGAGUCAUUUAUUGAAGAUGUUUAGCAAUUAAAGAUCUCUGUCUCAGUAGUUUUCCCAAUCAAAAUCAAGAAGCAAAACAACUUGCCAUUUUUCUACUUGAUAAUUAAAUCCCUUUUAUGACUUUUCAAAUAUCAAGAUCAAUGGACAUAAUUACCUAAAAUAUUUUAAGCAUAGGGAAAUUAUUUGCAUCUUAAAAUAUAUUGUGAACACACUGUUAUUGGCUCACCGUUUUGAAGAAGUUUUUAAACAUACUUUCACUAAUCCCAAAAAUAGUCCUUAAUAUAAUCAAAUCCCCCUAGUCACUUUAGCAUGUUCUUCUUCAAUAAUUCAUCAUUUUCUUCUAAAAUAAUCUAUUACAAAUUCAUGAAAUAGAAAGAGCAAAUAGAAGAAAAUCAAUAAAAACGACCAAUUGUGGCAUGGACUCAUUUUGGCAUAGAUUAAUUGUUUCAAGUGAGUAAGAAAAUGAUGUUCAAGAAGAAACGGUAGAUCCCGCGAGUGUUAAAAGUAAACAGUACUUUAUUUAAAAAAAGUAUUAUUUCGCUGAAUAAAGUAAGUUAUCUUGUUAGAAGGGUGUAUGGUCCAAUUUUGACUCUAUUUAGUGGUACUUUUUCUCAUUUCUUUCAUUUUGCUUUCCUAGUGUGUGGUAUGGGAUUUUCCUCAUCCUCAUUUAUCUCAUAUUGUGAUACAACAUUUUUCACUUCAGAUUUGAAAGUUAAAUUAAUUUGACUUAUCACUUGUAUGAUAAAAAAUUUAUAAUAUUUAUAGUAUUUUGUUAAUAUUAUUUAAAAAUCAUAUUUCUUACAUAUUUUUUAUUUUUAUUUAGAAUAGUAUAUCUUUUAAGCUGUAGAAUAAUCUCAAUAGUUUAGAUCAUUUGUCUUGCAUUGUGCGACUUCCAGUAACUUACGCUACGAAUACAUAUCGUUAUUAUACGUACCACUAUGUUGACAUCCAAACCUGCAUUACGUAUAUACAGUAUACCGUUAAUAAUUAUUAUACGUUGAACUACUUUGACUUUUCAAACUCGCAUUGCGAAUUGGCCGCAGAAAUCGAAAUUUUCAAGUGAAUCUAUAUAUACACAUACACAUAUGGUAGACCAUAAGGAAACUGGUAGGCUUAGUCCUGAGAGAAGUUAGGGGUAAAGUGUAGACGAAAACAAUUGAAGUUAUGGGUGACAUUGAAAAUCAAGGGGUCACUCUAAGAGAGAUGUUUGAAGGUCAAGUUCAUCUGAAAAAGGGUGUCAUUAAAAUUUUAAGUUCCAUGUCACUCAAAUGUGCGGUUGAGCUAGGCAUAGCGGACGUAAUUCACAGCCACGGACGACCGAUCACUCUUUCUGAGUUGGCCUCAGCUCUUAACAUUCAGCCUACAAAAACUCGUAGUCUAUUCCAUUUCAUGCGUCUGUUCGUUCACGUGGGCUUGUUUUUAAAAACCAAAGUUGUCAACCACAACGAACAAGAAGAAGCCUAUGGCCUCACGCCUACUUCUACCCUGCUCAUCAAAGAUAAUUCUUACUGUUUGUCACCACUUGUUACUGGAUUGCUUGACCAAGAUUUUGUCUCUUCAUUCCAGUAUUUAAGUAGUUGGUUCAAAGCGAACGAUCUCACGUUAUGGGAAACUGUACGCGGGUUGAAGUUUUGGGACUAUCUGAACCAGAACCCUGGAUUAAGCCAGCAGUUCAACCAAGUAAUUGAAAGUGAUUCUGUAAUGGCAACCUUGCUUGUCAAAGACUGCAGGCCAAUCUUUCAAGGGUUGCGCUCCCUGGUUGAUGUAGGAGGUGGAACGGGUGCAUUCGCGAGAAUCAUAUCUGAAGCAUUCCCCGGCAUCAAGUGCACAGUACUUGACCUCCCACAUGCUGUCAC